ensembl:lncRNA
GGAGAUGCCAUGGGAAGGUGCUGGCAGCUCUGGCAUGCCCCGGCUAUGUGCAGGCGGUGUGUCCCACCGGGAAAGUGCGGUGCUGCCAUCCAGAGGGACCGGAGAGGUGGGAUGGUGGGAACCUCCUGGAGCUGAGAGAGGAGAAGAGCGGAGUCCCGGCCCCGGGAGGAACAAGGCCAGGCAUUGGGAUGUCCCGGAGCGCAGCGUUACGGAGACGGAGCUGCUGGUCCUGGGGGACACCUGGUGGACAGCCCGGCGUCAGCCCCGGGACGCUCCG